rnacentral:misc_RNA from 1 species
GAUGAAGAAAGCAGCGAAAUGCGAUACGUAAUGUGAAUUGCAGAAUUCAGUGAAUCAUCGAAUCUUUGAACGCAUAUUGCGCUCUCUGGUAUUCCGGAGAGCAUGCUUGUUUGAGUAUCAGUAAACACCUCAACUUCCAUAUCUUUUUUGAAAUGGGAGUUGGACUUGAGUGAUCCCAACGCUUUUCCUCACCGAAAAGUGGCGGGUUACUUGAAAUGCAGGUGCAGCUGGACUUUUCUCUGAGCUAUAAGCAUAUCUAUUUAGUCUGCCUAAAAAACAGAUUAUUACCUUUGCUGCAGCUAACAUAAAGGAGAUUAGUUCUUGUGCUGACUGAUGCAGGAUUCACAAAGACGGCUUCGGCCGACUUUGUAAACUCGAUCUCAAAUCAAGUAAGACUACCCGCUGAACUUAAGCAUAUCAAUAAGCGGAGGA